UAGGGAAUCUUCGGCAAUGGACGGAAGUCUGACCGAGCAACGCCGCGUGAGUGAAGAAGGUUUUCGGAUCGUAAAGCUCUGUUGUAAGAGAAGAACGAGUGUGAGAGUGGAAAGUUCACACUGUGACGGUAUCUUACCAGAAAGGGACGGCUAACUACGUGCCAGCAGCCGCGGUAAUACGUAGGUCCCGAGCGUUGUCCGGAUUUAUUGGGCGUAAAGCGAGCGCAGGCGGUUUGAUAAGUCUGAAGUUAAAGGCUGUGGCUCAACCAUAGUUCGCUUUGGAAACUGUCAAACUUGAGUGCAGAAGGGGAGAGUGGAAUUCCAUGUGUAGCGGUGAAAUGCGUAGAUAUAUGGAGGAACACCGGUGGCGAAAGCGGCUCUCUGGUCUGUAACUGACGCUGAGGCUCGAAAGCGUGGGGAGCGAACAGGAUUAGAUACCCUGGUAGUCCACGCCGUAAACGAUGGGUGCUAGGUGUUGGAUCCUUUCCGGGAUUCAGUGCCGCAGCUAACGCAUUAAGCACUCCGCCUGGGGAGUACGACCGCAAGGUUG
rnacentral:rRNA from 1 species